rnacentral:rRNA from 1 species
AUUGAACGCUGGCGGCAUGCUUUACACAUGCAAGUCGAACGGCAGCGCGGGCUUCGGCCUGGCGGCGAGUGGCGAACGGGUGAGUAAUGCAUCGGAACGUGCUCAGUAGUGGGGGAUAGCCCGGCGAAAGCCGGAUUAAUACCGCAUACGACCUGAGGGUGAAAGCGGGGGACCGAAAGGCCUCGCGCUAUUGGAGCGGCCGAUGUCGGAUUAGCUAGUUGGUGGGGUAAAGGCUUACCAAGGCGACGAUCCGUAGCUGGUCUGAGAGGACGACCAGCCACACUGGGACUGAGACACGGCCCAGACUCCUACGGGAGGCAGCAGUGGGGAAUUUUGGACAAUGGGGGCAACCCUGAUCCAGCCAUGCCGCGUGCGGGAAGAAGGCCUUCGGGUUGUAAACCGCUUUUGUUCGGGAAGAAAUGCUCUGGGCUAAUACCCCGGGGGGAUGACGGUACCGGAAGAAUAAGCACCGGCUAACUACGUG